rnacentral:rRNA from 1 species
UACGGGGGGGGGCAAGCGUUGUUCGGAAUUACUGGGCGUAAAGGGCGCGUAGGCGGCCCUCUAAGUCAGACGUGAAAUCCCACGGCUCAACCGUGGAACUGCGUCUGAUACUGGAGGGCUUGAAUCCGGGAGAGGGAUGUGGAAUUCCAGGUGUAGCGGUGAAAUGCGUAGAUAUCUGGAGGAACACCGGUGGCGAAGGCGGCAUCCUGGACCGGUAUUGACGCUGAGGCGCGAAAGCUAGGGGAGCAAACGGG